GUCUGGGUGGUGUAGUUGGUUAUCACGUUAGUCUCACACACUAAAGGUCCCCAGUUCGAGCCUGGGCUUAGACA
rnacentral:tRNA from 1 species